rnacentral:misc_RNA from 1 species
GAUGAAGACGUAGCGAAAUGCGAUACUUGGUGUGAAUUGCAGAAUCCCGUGAACCAUCGAGUCUUUGAACGCAAGUUGCGCCCGAAGCCAUUAGGCCGAGGGCACGCCUGCCUGGGCGUCACACGUCGUUGCCCCCCCAUCUACUCCUUCGGGAUUGCGGGGGGCGGAUGAUGGCCUCUCGUGCGCCUCGUCGCGCGGUUGGCCUAAAUGCCAAGUCCUCGGCGACGCACGCCACGACAAUCGGUGGUUGCGAAACCUCGGUUGCCUGUCGUGUGCGGUCGUCGCGCAUCGAGGGCUCGAAAAAAUUGCCGGGCUUCGGCUCGACUUUCAACGCGACCCCAGGUCAGGCGGGGUUACCCGCUGAAUUUAAGCAUAUCAAUAACGGAGGA